GAUGAACGCUAGCUACAGGCUUUACACAUGCAAGUCGAGGGACCGGCGCACGGGUGAGUAAAACGUAUCCAACCUGCCCUGUACCCGGCGAUAGCGCUUCGAAAGAAAGAGUAAUAUCCUAUGUAAAAGAUGGGGAUGCGUGCCAUUAGGUUGUGGGGGAGGUAACGGCUCAACAAGGCUGCGAUGGAUAGGGGUUCUGAGAGGAAGGUCCCCCACGUUGGAACUGAGACCCGGUCCAAACUCCUACGGGAGGCAGCAGUGAGGAAUAUUGGUCAAUGGGCGUUAGCCUGAACCAGCCAAGUAGCGUGAAGGAUGAAGGCUUAUGGGUCGUAAACUUCUUUUAUAUAAGAAUAUGUAUUAUAUGAAUAAGGAUCGGCUAACUCCGUGCCAGCCGCCGCGGUAAUUC
rnacentral:rRNA from 1 species